rnacentral:rRNA from 1 species
CCUACGGGUGGCAGCAGUUAGGAAUAUUGGGCAAUGGAGGAAACUCUGACCCAGCAACGCCGCGUGAAGGAAGAAGGUUUUCGGAUUGUAAACUUCUGAUCUGUGGGACGAAGAAAGUGACGGUACCACAGGAGAAAGCCACGGCUAACUACGUGCCAGCAGCCGCGGUAAUACGUAGGGGGCAAGCGUUAUCCGGAUUUACUGGGUGUAAAGGGAGCGUAGACGGAAUUGCAAGUCUGAUGUGAAAAUCCGGGGCCCAACCCCGGAACUGCAUUGGAAACUGUAUUUCUAGAGUGUCGGAGAGGCAAGUGGAAUUCCUGGUGUAGCGGUGAAAUGCGUAGAUAUCAGGAGGAACACCAGUGGCGAAGGCGGCUUGCUGGACGAUGACUGACGUUGAGGCUCGAAAGCGUGGGGAGCAAACAGGAUUAGAUACCCUUGUAGUC